GACGAACGCUGGCGGCGUGUCUAAUACAUGCAAGUAGGACGCAGUUGCGAACGGGUGAGUAACGCGUAGGUAAAUACCUAUUAGAGGGGGAUAAAUAAUGGAAACGAUAGCGAAUACCGCAUACUAGUAGAUGGACCUGCGUUGUAUUUGCUAGUGGGUAGGGUAAUGGCCUACCUAGGCAAAGAUACAUAGUCGGCCUGGGGGGGGUGACUGGCAAAAUGGGACUGGGGAAAGGCCCAGGUUACUAAGGGAGGGAGCAGUAGGGGAACUUCGGCAAUUGGGGGAAACCCGACCGCGCAACGCCGCGUGAUUGAAGAAGGGUUUCGGAUCGGAAAGGUCUGUUGUUAAGGAAGCGGUACUUAACCAGAAAGGGACGGCUAACUACGUGCCAGCAGCCGCGGUAAUUC
rnacentral:rRNA from 1 species